rnacentral:rRNA from 1 species
UACGAAGGGGGCUAGCGUUGCUCGGAAUUACUGGGCGUAAAGGGCGCGUAGGCGGACAGUUUAGUCAGAGGUAAAAGCCCAGGGCUCAACCUUGGAACUGCCUUUGAUACUGACUGUCUUGAGUUCGGGAGAGGUGAGUGGAAUGCCGAGUGUAGAGGUGAAAUUCGUAGAUAUUCGGCGGAACACCAGUGGCGAGGGCGACUCACUGGCCCGAUACUGACGCUGAGGCGCGAAAGCGUGGGGAGCAAACAGG